CGGCGCAUUAGCUAGUCGGCGGGGUAACGGCCCACCGAGGCGACGAUGCGUAGGGGUUCUGAGAGGAAGGUCCCCCACACUGGUACUGAGACACGGACCAGACUCCUACGGGAGGCAGCAGUGAGGAAUAUUGGUCAAUGGGCGGGAGCCUGAACCAGCCAAGUCGCGUGAGGGAAGACGGUCCUACGGAUUGUAAACCUCUUUUGCCGGGGAGCAACGGGGUCCUUGCGAGGGCCCAAUGAGAGUACCCGGAGAAAAAGCAUCGGCUAACUCCGUGCCAGCAGCCGCGGUAAUACGGAGGAUGCGAGCGUUAUCCGGAUUUAUUGGGUUUAAAGGGUGCGUAGGCGGGCUGUUAAGUCAGCGGUCAAAUGUCGGGGCUCAACCCCGGCCUGCCGUUGAAACUGGUGGCCUCGAGUGGGCGAGAAGUAUGCGGAAUGCGUGGUGUAGCGGUGAAAUGCAUAGAUAUCACGCAGAACUCCGAUUGCGAAGGCAGCAUACCGGCGCCCGACUGACGCUGAGGCACGAAAGCGUGGGUAUCGAACAGGAUUAGAUACCCUGGUAGUCCACGCAGUAAACGAUGAAUGCUAGCUGUCCGG
rnacentral:rRNA from 1 species